rnacentral:rRNA from 1 species
UACGGGGGGGGGCAAGCGUUGUUCGGAAUUACUGGGCGUAAAGGGGUUGUAGGCGGCCAACUAAGUCCGACGUGAAAUCCCCGAGCUCAACUCGGGAACUGCGUCCGAUACUGGCGGGCUAGAGGGUGGUAGAGGCGAGUGGAAUUCCCGGUGUAGCGGUGAAAUGCGCAGAUAUCGGGAGGAACACCAGUAGCGAAGGCGGCUCGCUGGGCCACACCUGACGCUGAGGAGCGAAAGCUAGGGGAGCAAACGGGG